GUGUAGUAUGAAAGGAGAGACGUUUAGCAUUCCCCUUGACAAGGAUGGAGACACACAUACCGGUUGAGGCACAUCCUGGGCUAGUCUCAGGAAUCUUGACCAUCAUUUUUU